rnacentral:rRNA from 1 species
GGCAGCAGUGGGGAAUAUUGCACAAUGGGCGAAAGCCUGAUGCAGCGACGCCGCGUGAGGGAUGACGGCCUUCGGGUUGUAACCCUCUUUCAGUAGGGAAGAAGCGAAAGUGACGGUACCUGCAGAAGAAGCGCCGGCUAACUACGUGCCAGCAGCCGCGGUAAUACGUAGGGCGCAAGCGUUAUCCGGAAUUAUUGGGCGUAAAGAGCUCGUAGGCGGUUUGUCGCGUCUGCUGUGAAAGACCGCAGCUUAACCUCGGGCCUGCAGUGGGUACGGGCAGGCUAGAGUGAUGUAGGGGAGACUGGAAUUCCUGGUGUAGCGGUGAAAUGCGCAGAUAUCAGGAGGAACACCGAUGGCGAAGGCAGGUCUCUGGGCCUUAACUGACGCUGAGGAGCGAAAGCAUGGGGAGCGAACAGGAUUAGACACCCUGGUAGUCCAUGCCGUAAACGUUGGGCACUAGGUGUGGGGGACAUUCCACGUUUUCCGCGCCGUAGCUAACGCAUUAAGUGCCCCGCCUGGGGAGUACGGCCGCAAGGCUAAAACUCAAAGGAAUUGACGGA